rnacentral:lncRNA from 1 species
GAGGGUGAAGUAUAUGCCUAAGGUAAUUGCGAUGGCGACUACCUUCCAUCAGGCUGUGGUGAGCUCAAGUAAUUGAAACUCCUGAUGCAAGAAUGGGGGCCCAACAGUGCCAAGGCCGCCUCUUGUCACUCUCAACCUGGGAGAUCUCUGCAUAUGGAGGAGUUCUGAGGACUGAUGUGUUUCCAGGGUCUGCAAAUCUCAAAGAAACAUUCAAACAGGAACGAGAAUUUGGACAAGCGAACACUCUGUGCUGCUCAAGGGAAGAGCACAGUGGAAGUCCAAGGGCGAGUGUGUGCCCAGGGCAGGGCAACUGGGCUCUGGGCUGAUUCCCGGGAUGCAUGAUUACAUCAGCCUGAGCUCAGCUUCUCCACCAAUAAAAAGGGCCAGUGAUAUCUGCCCACCCUUAUCUCAGAGCUCUCCUGCCAGUACCUGGGCAUUCCAAAUAAUGUACUAGACCAAAAUUGUCCUGGAUUCUGCCCUGCAAAGUGGACGUUUCCUUUAAUUUGGCUUAUAAACUUUCUGAUUUCACUCUAAAUCCUGACCAUAGAUUCUUUUGUCUCAAAAGCUCCCUAAGAUAGAAUAGACCUACUUCAAGAUCUG